rnacentral:rRNA from 1 species
UACGAAGGGGGCUAGCGUUGCUCGGAAUCACUGGGCGUAAAGGGUGCGUAGGCGGGUCUUUAAGUCAGGGGUGAAAUCCUGGAGCUCAACUCCAGAACUGCCUUUGAUACUGAAGAUCUUGAGUUCGGGAGAGGUGAGUGGAACUGCGAGUGUAGAGGUGAAAUUCGUAGAUAUUCGCAAGAACACCAGUGGCGAAGGCGGCUCACUGGCCCGAUACUGACGCUGAGGGGCGAAAGCGUGGGGAGCGAACGGG